UACGUAGGGUGCGAGCGUUAAUCGGAAUUACUGGGCGUAAAGCGUGCGCAGGCGGUUUUGUAAGUCUGUCGUGAAAUCCCCGGGCUCAACCUGGGAAUUGCGAUGGAGACUGCAAGGCUAGAAUCUGGCAGAGGGGGGUAGAAUUCCACGUGUAGCAGUGAAAUGCGUAGAGAUGCGGAGGAACACCGAUGGCGAAGGCAGCCCCCUGGGCUAAGACUGACGCUGAGGCACGAAAGCGUGGGGAGCAAACAGG
rnacentral:rRNA from 1 species